CACAUUCAACCUAAACCUAAAUCGCCGCCGCCGCCCCCGCCCCCGACCUACCCAUAGAUUUGCUCGCAUCGCCGCCGCCGCCCCCGACCUACCCAUAGAUUUGCUCGCAUCGCCGCCUCCCCCACCACGGCAUCCCACCCUUGCCCGUCCUCUAGUCCUGCGUGCUGCCCCGUCAUCCACGGCCGAGGAGCUGCUGCCCCGUCUGCAGCCAAGGCGCCGCCGCCUAGUCCACUGCCUAGGAGUUGGCGAGGAGGCAACUGCAGUUCUGGAGUCGCCCAGCCGUUCUUCUUCCUCCACCAGCGACCCCUGUCCAGAUCGACACCCUUGUCCUGCCCCGACUCCAGGCCACUGCAGGAGAAAAGAUGGAAGGAACAAGAGGUGAAAGCGAGCUCCCUGCAUAUGAACAAUCAAGAGUUAGGCUUGUAGCAGACAUGAAUUGGCUGAAGAACUUGGCUAUGACCCACAGAGAGAUGACAUAUUUGUCAGAGCACAUACACAUAAAAUUGGAGUUCCUACCGCACAAGCAAACACUAAUUAACAACCUGAAGAAGCAGCUGAACCGCCAACAACACUUGCAAUGGAAAUUCAAUUUCGUCAACAAGAUGAACAGGUUUCUACUCUACUAGAGCUCACGGAACAAAUGCAAUGAAAAAUUGGAGAGAUGCAUCAAGUUCUCUUUUCUCAAGGAAUCGGAAUGUCGAAAUACCAGAUUCCUGAACUCGCACAUCCAAUCACCGGUCUGAUCUUGUUGUCCAACGACCGAGAGUUCCGAGACGAAUGUGUGGCACUCAGGAAACAUAGGGACAUAUGGUAGAAAGUAGGAAGUCCACAAGUUGAUCUAAGAUGUUCCGGUGAUCGCUUUUGUUCAUUACAUGGUCGACACAACUUAUUCGUAUGGAAGUUGAUGCCGGCUUUGGUGAUCGAAGGAUUGGUCUUUUUCAUAUAAGGAAGUUGAUGCUGGCUUGGUGAUUGAAGGAUUGGUCUCUUUCAUGUGGAAGUUGAUGUCGGCUUGGUGAUUGAAGGACUGGUCUCUUUCAUAAUUGCUCUCUUAGAAGCUUGCCCCUCGUAUUUUGGAGCAGGUCACGUCUUGUGUGUAAGACCUAUGUAUUUCCUUAAUGGAUGUAGCUAACUUGAGUGAAGAAAACUAAUGAAUCUUCAAUUUAUGUUGAAUAAAUGUAUUGGUUAAUGGUAUCUUGUGAUGAAUAUAUAGAAGAGUAAUUGUUUGUAUAUGUAUUGUGUACUGAA